GGGUUGUGAGGUUAAGCGACUAAGCGUACACGGUGGAUGCCCUGGCAGUCAGAGGCGAUGAAGGACGUGCUAAUCUGCGAUAAGCGUCGGUAAGGUGAUAUGAACCGUUAUAACCGGCGAUUUCCGAAUGGGGAAACCCAGUGUGUUUCGACACACUAUCAUUAACUGAAUCCAUAGGUUAAUGAGGCGAACCGGGGGAACUGAAACAUCUAAGUACCCCGAGGAAAAGAAAUCAACCGAGAUUCCCCCAGUAGCGGCGAGCGAACGGGGAGCAGCCCAGAGCCUGAAUCAGUAUGUGUGUUAGUGGAAGCGUCUGGAAAGGCGCGCGAUACAGGGUGACAGCCCCGUACACAAAAAUGCACAUGCUGUGAGCUCGAUGAGUAGGGCGGGACACGUGGUAUCCUGUCUGAAUAUGGGGGACCAUCCUCCAAGGCUAAAUACUCCUGACUGACCGAUAGUGAACCAGUACCGUGAGGGAAAGGCGAAAAGAACCCCGGCGAGGGGAGUGAAAAAGAACCUGAAACCGUGUACGUACAAGCAGUGGGAGCACGCUUAGGCGUGUGACUGCGUACCUUUUGUAUAAUGGGUCAGCGACUUAUAUUCUGUAGCAAGGUUAACCGAAUAGGGGAGCCGAAGGGAAACCGAGUCUUAACUGGGCGUUAAGUUGCAGGGUAUAGACCCGAAACCCGGUGAUCUAGCCAUGGGCAGGUUGAAGGUUGGGUAACACUAACUGGAGGACCGAACCGACUAAUGUUGAAAAAUUAGCGGAUGACUUGUGGCUGGGGGUGAAAGGCCAAUCAAACCGGGAGAUAGCUGGUUCUCCCCGAAAGCUAUUUAGGUAGCGCCUCGUGAAUUCAUCUCCGGGGGUAGAGCACUGUUUCGGCAAGGGGGUCAUCCCGACUUACCAACCCGAUGCAAACUGCGAAUACCGGAGAAUGUUAUCACGGGAGACACACGGCGGGUGCUAACGUCCGUCGUGAAGAGGGAAACAACCCAGACCGCCAGCUAAGGUCCCAAAGUCAUGGUUAAGUGGGAAACGAUGUGGGAAGGCCCAGACAGCCAGGAUGUUGGCUUAGAAGCAGCCAUCAUUUAAAGAAAGCGUAAUAGCUCACUGGUCGAGUCGGCCUGCGCGGAAGAUGUAACGGGGCUAAACCAUGCACCGAAGCUGCGGCAGCGACGCUUAUGCGUUGUUGGGUAGGGGAGCGUUCUGUAAGCCUGUGAAGGUGUACUGUGAGGUAUGCUGGAGGUAUCAGAAGUGCGAAUGCUGACAUAAGUAACGAUAAAGCGGGUGAAAAGCCCGCUCGCCGGAAGACCAAGGGUUCCUGUCCAACGUUAAUCGGGGCAGGGUGAGUCGACCCCUAAGGCGAGGCCGAAAGGCGUAGUCGAUGGGAAACAGGUUAAUAUUCCUGUACUUGGUGUUACUGCGAAGGGGGACGGAGAAGGCUAUGUUGGCCGGGCGACGGUUGUCCCGGUUUAAGCGUGUAGGCUGGUUUUCCAGGCAAAUCCGGAAAAUCAAGGCUGAGGCGUGAUGACGAGGCACUACGGUGCUGAAGCAACAAAUGCCCUGCUUCCAGGAAAAGCCUCUAAGCAUCAGGUAACAUCAAAUCGUACCCCAAACCGACACAGGUGGUCAGGUAGAGAAUACCAAGGCGCUUGAGAGAACUCGGGUGAAGGAACUAGGCAAAAUGGUGCCGUAACUUCGGGAGAAGGCACGCUGAUAUGUAGGUGAAGCGACUUGCUCGUGGAGCUGAAAUCAGUCGAAGAUACCAGCUGGCUGCAACUGUUUAUUAAAAACACAGCACUGUGCAAACACGAAAGUGGACGUAUACGGUGUGACGCCUGCCCGGUGCCGGAAGGUUAAUUGAUGGGGUCAGCGCAAGCGAAGCUCUUGAUCGAAGCCCCGGUAAACGGCGGCCGUAACUAUAACGGUCCUAAGGUAGCGAAAUUCCUUGUCGGGUAAGUUCCGACCUGCACGAAUGGCGUAAUGAUGGCCAGGCUGUCUCCACCCGAGACUCAGUGAAAUUGAACUCGCUGUGAAGAUGCAGUGUACCCGCGGCAAGACGGAAAGACCCCGUGAACCUUUACUAUAGCUUGACACUGAACAUUGAGCCUUGAUGUGUAGGAUAGGUGGGAGGCUUUGAAGUGUGGACGCCAGUCUGCAUGGAGCCGACCUUGAAAUACCACCCUUUAAUGUUUGAUGUUCUAACGUGGACCCGUAAUCCGGGUUGCGGACAGUGUCUGGUGGGUAGUUUGACUGGGGCGGUCUCCUCCUAAAGAGUAACGGAGGAGCACGAAGGUUGGCUAAUCCUGGUCGGACAUCAGGAGGUUAGUGCAAUGGCAUAAGCCAGCUUGACUGCGAGCGUGACGGCGCGAGCAGGUGCGAAAGCAGGUCAUAGUGAUCCGGUGGUUCUGAAUGGAAGGGCCAUCGCUCAACGGAUAAAAGGUACUCCGGGGAUAACAGGCUGAUACCGCCCAAGAGUUCAUAUCGACGGCGGUGUUUGGCACCUCGAUGUCGGCUCAUCACAUCCUGGGGCUGAAGUAGGUCCCAAGGGUAUGGCUGUUCGCCAUUUAAAGUGGUACGCGAGCUGGGUUUAGAACGUCGUGAGACAGUUCGGUCCCUAUCUGCCGUGGGCGCUGGAGAACUGAGGGGGGCUGCUCCUAGUACGAGAGGACCGGAGUGGACGCAUCACUGGUGUUCGGGUUGUCAUGCCAAUGGCACUGCCCGGUAGCUAAAUGCGGAAGAGAUAAGUGCUGAAAGCAUCUAAGCACGAAACUUGCCCCGAGAUGAGUUCUCCCUGACUCCUUGAGAGUCCUGAAGGAACGUUGAAGACGACGACGUUGAUAGGCCGGGUGUGUAAGCGCAGCGAUGCGUUGAGCUAACCGGUACUAAUGAACCGUGAGGCUUAACCUUACAACGCCGAAGCUGUU
rnacentral:rRNA from 1 species